rnacentral:rRNA from 1 species
CCUACGGGAGGCAGCAGUGGGGAAUUUUGGACAAUGGGCGCAAGCCUGAUCCAGCAAUGCCGCGUGAGUGAAGAAGGCCUUCGGGUUGUAAAGCUCUUUUGUCAGGGAAGAAACGGUGGAGGCUAAUAUCCUUUGCUAAUGACGGUACCUGAAGAAUAAGCACCGGCUAACUACGUGCCAGCAGCCGCGGUAAUACGUAGGGUGCAAGCGUUAAUCGGAAUUACUGGGCGUAAAGCGUGCGCAGGCGGUUUUGUAAGUUUGUCGUGAAAUCCCCGGGCUCAACCUGGGAAUGGCGAUGAAGACUGCAAGGCUAGAAUCUGGCAGAGGGGGGUAGAAUUCCACGUGUAGCAGUGAAAUGCGUAGAGAUGUGGAGGAACACCGAUGGCGAAGGCAGCCCCCUGGGUCAAGAUUGACGCUCAUGCACGAAGACGGUGGGGAGGACAAACGAGGAGUUAGUAGUACCCGUACGGUAGUACCGACCGACCCGUAAACCGUACUACGUACUACUACGUUAGGUU